UUCCGGUUGAUCCUGCCGGGACCUGACUGCUAUCGGAUAGAGAUUAAGCCAUGCUAGUUGAACAUUUCUUAACUAUGUGAGAAGUGUAGCGUACUGCUCAGUAACACGUGGUCAACCUGCCCUAGAGACGUGUAUAACCCCGGGAAACUGGGACUAAUACGCGAUAAGUCAUAUUUUCUGGAAUGGUUUAUGAUAUAAAGGAUUUUUCAAACAUGUUUGAUUUAUUGCUUUAGGAUGGGACUGCGGCCGAUCAGGUUGUUGGUGGGGUAAUGGCCCACCAAGCCUAUUACCGGUGCGGGCUUUGAGAGAAGGAGCCUGGAGAUGGACACUGAGAAAAGGGUCCAGGCCCUACGGGGCGCAGCAGGCGCGAAAACUUCGCAAUGUGCGAAAGCACGACGAGGUUAAUCCGAGUGCAACAUGCUGAAUGUAGCUUUUGAUAAGUGUAGGUAGUUUAUUGAAUAAGGGGAGGGAAAGUCUGGUGUCAGCCGCCGCGGUAAUACCAGCUCCCCGAGUGGUCGGGACGAUUAUUGGGCCUAAAGCAUCCGUAGCCUGUUCUGUAGGUCUUAUGUUAAAACCAAUUGCUUAACAAUUGGACUGCAUGAGAUACCACAGAACUAGGAGGCGGGAGAGGUGGACGGUACUCCACGGGUAGUGGUAAAAUGCUCUGAUCCGUGGAAGACCACCAGUGGCGAAGGCGGUCCACCAGAACGCGCUCGACGGUGAGGGAUGAAAGCUGGGGUAGCGAACCGGAUUAGAUACCCGGGUAGUCCCAGCUGUAAACGAUGCAAGCUAGGUGAUGGAUUAGCCACGUGUUAAUCCAGUGCCGCAGGGAAGCCGUUAAGCUUGCCGCCUGGGGAGUACGGUCGCAAGGCUGAAACUUAAAGGAAUUGGCGGGGGAGCACCACAAGGGGUGAA
rnacentral:rRNA from 1 species